UCCCGCCUCCGGGGCGGGGUUUCGCCAAACCCUUCCCUUGGAGAGGCGGUGCCUUCUGCACGGGGCUGCACGCUUCGGCUUUAAGAGACCAGAGGAGCUCAGGAUAAGGCAGAGAAGGGAAAUUCUCGUUGCAUUCAAAGGGGAAGACCUACUCUACUCUGUUCUAAGCUUGCAUGAAAAUGGAAGAAACACCUAGUAGCACUCCUCUCCACGCUUCAGUUUCUUAGGCAGUACUCCAGAGACGACGAUGGCAUUGUGUGUUCUGAUUUUUCUUGAGGCUUCCUGUUUCUGUUGUCUGUGGAUCAUUGGACCAGAUAUGCCCUGAUUCUAAUAUUUGUGAGUGGAAAAGACUGAAGUCUCUAUAGCCAGUUUAAGCAAAUCUUUGCAGAUUUGUGCUGGAUUAUCUCGUGUGCCAAGAGGAU